ACGGGUGAGUAACACGUGGGUAAUCUACCCUUUGGUGGGGAAUAACUCUGGGAAACCGGAGCUAAUACCGCAUAAUCCCGAGAGGGAAAAGCAGCAAUGCGCCGAAGGAGGAGCCCGCGGCCGAUUAGCUAGUUGGUAGGGUAACAGCCUACCAAGGCAAAGAUCGGUAGCCGGCCUGAGAGGGCACACGGCCACACUGGCACUGAAACACGGGCCAGACUCCUACGGGAGGCAGCAGUGGGGAAUCUUGCACAAUGGGGGAAACCCUGAUGCAGCGACGCCGCGUGAGCGAUGAAGCCCUUCGGGGUGUAAAGCUCUUUCGGCAGGGAAGAUUAUGACGGUACCUGCAGAAGCAGCUGCGGCUAACUACGUGCCAGCAGCCGCGG
rnacentral:rRNA from 1 species